rnacentral:rRNA from 1 species
AUGUACAAUGUCAUUCAUAUAGACGAGAAAUGGUUCUAUCGCACCAAGAAGUCUCUCAAGCUAUACCUAGCAGAUGAUGAGGAAGAACCGGAACGGUUCACACAGAACAAGAAUUAUAUAGAGAGGGUUAUGUUUCUCGCAGCUGUAGCACGCCCUCGCUUUGAUGUGAAUGAUAAUGUGACGUUUGAUGGUAAAAUUGGUAUAUGGCCGUUCACUUUUGAGGAGGCGGCUAAAAGGGAUAGUCCUAACCGUCUAGCUGGGACAAUUGUGACAAAGGUCAUCCCCAAGGUGACAAGGGAUGUGAGUAGAGACUUCUUGGUGAACAAGGUUAUCCCUGCCAUCAAGGCGAAGUGGCCUCCUUCUGAACGUGGGCGUCCUAUAUUCAUCCAGCAAGAUAAUGCUAGGACUCACGUGAAUGUUGAUGAUCUGGUUUUCCUUGCCGCAGCCCAAGCGGAUGGAUGGGACAUUCGUUUGGUGUGUCAGCCACCGAAUUCGCCGGAUCUUAACAUACUUGAUCUUGGUUUCUUUGCUGCCUUACAGUCAUUGUUCCAGAAGCUAUUUCCAGGUUCCAUCGAUGACAUAAUUAUGAAGGUGUGCCAAGCAUUUGAGCAGUACCCCGCCGAGAGGUGCAACCGAAUAUUUCUCACUCUACAAUCUUGCAUGCGCGAGGUUCUAAAGGACAAAGGAGGCCAGCACUACAAGGUGCCACACAUGAGGAAGCAAGUCCUUCAAGAUCGUCGUAUCUUACCGGUGACGCUGCCUUGUGAUCGAUCUAUUGUGGACCAAGCGAGGGCAUUUUUACUUGAGUAG